rnacentral:rRNA from 1 species
GACGAACGCUGGCGGCGCGCUUAACACAUGCAAGUCGAGCGAAGCGGCGGACGGGUGAGUAACACGUGAGUAAGCUGCCUUAGACAUUGGGAUAGUCUCGGGAAACCGGGAUUAAUACCAAAUGGUCUAAGAUGGACUCGCGUCCCAUUAGCUAGUUGGUGAGGUAACGGCGCACCAAGGCGACGAUGGGUAGCCGUCCUGAGAGCGUGAACGGCCAACUUGGGACUGAGAUACUGACCAGGCUCUACGGGAGGCAGCAGUGGGGAAUCUUACACAAGGGGGGGAAGCGUGCUGCAGCGACCCAGCGUUGGUUAUGAAGGCCUUCGGGGUGUAAACUCCUUUCGACAGGGACGCGGUACCUGUAGAAGAAGCACCGGCUAACUACGUGCCAGCAGCCGCGGUAAUUC